rnacentral:misc_RNA from 1 species
GUUUUUUGCACCUAGAUAACGCAGGAAUUCAGUAUACGAUGCAAAAUCAUCCUCACUAUCUGGCAAGAAAAAUACAAUGUCAAAUCCUGUGGCUUCAGCAUAAUGUUUAGUGAGCUGAUCCAGCCCAGUUCUUGCUGAACAAUUGACUACUUCCGGAAGCUCACUUCCUAUUCCUUCACCAAUUGGGACACAACGAGCAUGACAAACAGGUGUUCCUCCCUUGGCAAUUAU